UAGAAAAGGAACGUUGCAGGCAAGUACUGUUUCAUUUUGAUAGAAAAGAUUGCCUCCACAGAAGUCACAUCAGAUUAGGACAGCCAUUGAUUUCUACUUUUUUAUUUCCGCCUGUUUUAGACGGCAGUUUUGUAAUGCAUCCUUAUCCACAGAUUGCCAGCUUCUUAUAAGUGAAUAACAAGCGGCACCACCGAAAUACAUUUAUUUCUGGUUUGUGGUUUUGUUAGCAUCAGCAAUGGCAAGUAUUGUGAAGACAACAAAUAGCGAGAAAGAGGAGGAGCAUCUCAGAGCCCACAAUGUGAAAAAGGGAUUUGAACGCCUGGAUAGGAGAUCUGGAAGCCGCAUCAAUGGAGGACCAAAGAAGGGAGGUCACGGAGGGAAGUAUACAUGGGCCGGGGAUCGAACCUGCGACCUCACCCACUCACAGCCUGCUGUUACUGUCCUCGAUCACAAGGACCCCAACUACGAGGAAGAGGCGUUUUGAUCUUACUCAUUCUAUUGGGUUUUUACAUAUUUUAUUUUUCUGCUGGAAACCCUCUUAAUCUCUAGCUGUUUUGGGAGUUAUUUUGUGGGGGAUCUAUUCUGACACGCCUCUCUUGUGAAUAUUUCGAUUAGAAUGUAUUGAUUAAUGGUGUUUAAAUGAUUUUGGCGUGUGGGACGUACUAUCUUUGAUGGCAUGUUCCUGAACAUGGACUAUAAUACAGGGAAUUCUAAUUACAGGUAUUAGGAUCAUAUGUCAUACUGUGAAGCAAAGUGAACGCAGUAUUUAAUUACAUCAGCAUAUUUUGUCAAGUAGACAAAAACCAGGAUUUGAUUACAUUAGCAUAUGCAGUAAAUUAUGCCAUCUGCAGUAUUGACAUGAAUAAUUGAUCUAAAAUGGGGAAAUGAGUGUGUUGAUUGUGGAUGUUUGCAACUGGUCACCUUUGUCUCUAAUAUUUGCUUGUGUACCAAUAAGGAUAUGCAGUAAAUUAUGCCAUCUGCAGUAUUAUGAGUUUGUUUGCAUUAAUCAAUGUCAUAAUCAAUUAGGGAGAACAGUGUUUUGCUUUGUUUUUUCUAUUAUCGGAUUGCUUGGAUAAGCAUGUGAAGGCAAUCAAGAAAAUAAUAAUUUAAAUGACAUUUGACUGUGUGGUUAAAGUCUUGGCGUCUAAAGAAAUGAGCUGUAAAUCCACGGAGUCCAUUAUAGAAGGGUGGGAACGAGAACGAAGAAAGGAGAUCUAUGUCCAGGGGUGGAUCUUUUAGUCUCUAAGUCAAUCAAAGGUAAAAUGUUGGAAUUAAGGUAAAAUUGGUCAUGUAAAGAAAAAUUUCAAUAAAAAAAGACUAAGAAUUAAUCUGAUGGUAGUUUUAAUUUGAAGACCUUUCGAGUUGAAUUUAGCAAUAUAUUUGUUGCAUUUUGUUAAGCUCUUUAGUGAUGAUGCAUGGUAGGUUGAUGCUAAGCAUUAUUUCACAUGAUUCUUAUAGGGAGUGAUUUUUGUAGUAUGAUAAUUAUAAUUGUGAAAAAGAAAAUUGAUGUUGGACUAUACAACAUGAAUAAAAUGAUAUUAGUUAUGGUAAAAUUAAACUUGUGUUUAGAGAUGGAAGAAUUAAGAAUCUCUUUGUGACAUGUUUGACAUGCUAGGUUUGAUUAGGAACCUUUUAUUUACAAGCAGUAUUAAUAAUGUGGGGGCAUAUGGUGACUUCUCAAACAAUAAAGUCAUUAAAAUAUCUCACACAAUCGAAUCCGAAUUGAUGCAAAAAAAUCUCACACAAUCGAAUCCUGACAUAGCUGACUAUCAUCUUCUCAAAUAAUAUUACAAAUUGGUGAGAGUAAAUUUGGUAUUGGAAAAGGGGGUUAUGUGUGAGAUUAUACUUAAACUUGAGACUAGUAUCAUGUGUGGUUGACAUGUGUUUUCUCUAUGUAUUUAAAUUCCUUGAGCUAUUGUUAUACCAAUAUCAUGAAAAGAAAGACCCAAAGUUGACUUUGAAAAGACAAGAUAUUUUCAUUAUAGUACAUUAAGGAGGAAAAGAUAUCUCAAAUGAUGUCUAAAGCCAUCACCAUGCUAAUAGCAUUGAGAUAGGAGAGUUGAGGUAGUACAAAACUUUUCGUUAAGCCAUUGCUAGGGUGACACCUUAGAUGAGAUGAACUCUAGUGUUGUAAAAAAAUAAGAAGAAUUAUUUUCAUUGCAACAUCUUUUUGAGCGAAAUUGGUUGCCAACUUGGAAUAUUUAAAAAAAAAAAACAUGUAAUUGUUAUCAAUAAAGUCUGCACCCUCUGCUAAAGCUGCGAACUUGAGUUGCCUAUUGAAACAUGGGAACACUUCGAGGUUGCGGGUAACCUGAAGACUGAAGUGGACCUCCAGAGUAAGCUGGUUCUUUUCGAUUUCUUCACCUAAACUAACAAUUUCUUCAGGGAAAAGAGUGAGGAGGAAGACAUAAAAUGAAACUACUAACUAAUAGGUGAUACACCAAAAAGGAUACCAGAAAAACUUGGACAAAUUGAUUAACACACGAAGUAACCAGUAAUAAAAGGAAACCUUGCACAAUUCAGAAAAUUCAUAACCACUGCAUCAACACUUCAUAAGGAGGCUGUAAAAAUAAUAAUCUCAGCAGGAGAAAAGAUGUUUUCUCACAACCUGAGGUUACUCUUUCAACUGGCACAACUAUGACCUGCAACUGAUUAGAAAAAAACUCCUACAUAAAGGUGCUAACAGCAACACAAUCACAAGGAUAAAAGAUAUCACCUGAAACUGCAUUAAGACUAAUUACAAAAAAACAAGAAAUCUGAGAAGGCAAAAAUAUGUAUUACUCUCAAUAGGUGUUACAAAGCUUAUCAAAACUAGUUACAAACUCCUUCCUUUCUGUAGAGAAAACUCAAAAAAUUACAGUUUGCCAGAAACAAAAGGUAAGAACCCUUGAAAAAAAGAAGACCUCUAGUAUAUAUGCUUUUACAAAAGGUAGUCAAAAGGACUCCACCUCCUCCUUGGGUCGAGCAGGCUCAAAAAGCCUACUUUUUAGGGGUCUAACAUGUCUAGAAGGGGAUGGGCCUGAGCCAAAAGUCAAGCCAGCCCAUGCCUUGCCAUAAAAGCUCUUAAAUGCAUCAUAAAUGACUCUGAAAUAUCCCUGACAGGCCUGCAAGCCUUCAUAAAUGCAAAAAAUAUCUUCUUGACUUUCUAAUAAAGGUAAAUAAAUAUCUAAUAAAGUGAUCAUUAAAAUUAUCACUUCAUCAAAUAUUUAUUCAUCUAUUUUUACAAUAAAGUCAAGAAAUUGAUAAAAUUUAAUAAAGUGAUAACAACUUCACUUGAAUAAAUAUUUUCACACAUUAGAAACCAAGUAAUAUAAUACGUAAUUCAAUAAAGUGACAAAAUUAAUUCCACUUUGAUGAAUAUUUACCUAUUUCAUUUUUUAUUAAAUAUUUAUCAAUUUGUGAUUUUCACAUAUAACAUUUACUAAUUAAUUUAUAAAUUUUCACUUAAUAGAUAUUUGUUUUAAUUAUAUUAAUAAAUAUUUAUUCAGUGAUAGUUUAAUAAAUUACUUAAUAGAUAUUGUAUGUGAAAAUUAUAAAAUGAUGAAAUAAAAUAAAAAAACUUGUCCCUCCCCUAGGCAUUUUACGGGGGAAUUUAGAGGAGAGAAAUAAAAAAACAAUAAGGCAAAGAAAAACGCCUUAGUGAUUCGGCAUACUUAGGGAAAGCAACCCUAAAAUCGAGCUCAUUCCUCUUAUGUGAUAUUUUUCCAUCCUUCUGCUAUGGCGUGAAGCUAGGGUUGGAGGCUCGAAAAUCUGAAAGACAUUUGGUUUAUGCUAGCUACCAUGCUUGAUUCGCUACAAGUUGAGUUGCUGUAAACUGAUGUUGUGGAAGAAAACGCAGAAUAGGUGGUGUAUUCUUUGCAAAAACUGAGUGUGGAGUGGCUUUGUGCAUAUUUUGACGAUUUUUUGGGCGUGAUUAUCCUGAUCACUGCUUGGUAAGCCUUCCUCUUUACUGCGAAACUGAAACACCAAGCUCUAUCUUUUGAUUUAAAGCCGAUCUUGGUGGCACAAGACCACGACUUUAACUAGCUUUUCGAUUUAUUUGCUCUCUGCUUUUAUCAUGUUUGUGUUUGUGAAAAAAUGGACGCUUUACUCGAGAAUACGAAGCUGAAAAAGCUACCAUAGCUGGUUCGAAUCAUGAGGGUUUCGAAUUUAUAUUUACUGGCAGAUAACAGGAAAAAGGAGCACUAAGGACCUGGGAAGCAAGGAGGAGUAGGACGACACCAGCAAAUUUAUGGAUCAGCCAAUGAGCACUAGUCAUUCAGGCAAUGAUUGGUCACCCUCUAGACAUGCAUUUUUAGCAUUUAUUCAUUCAUGUAUAAUUUAGCUUUCAUGUGCAUCAUGGAUAUUGAAUGAACAUGGUCAGUCUCAUGGCUUAUUGUGUGAGACGUGCAUUCUAUCAGUUUAAUAAAGAUUACAUUCUUUUCGAAA